rnacentral:lncRNA from 1 species
UCCGAGGUUAAGCUCUGCCUCCCUCAUCAUCUGCAUAAGGCUACUUAUCUGCCUUUCGAGACUAAGCCCUAUCUCCAUCUGCAUUUUGCAUAAGGCUACUUUUCUGCCUUCCGAGGUUAAGCUCUACCUCCAUCAUCAUCUGCAUAAGGUUACUCUUUUGCCUUUCGAGACUAAGCCCUGUCUCCAUCUACAUUUUGCAUAAGGCUACUUUUCUGCCUUUCGAGGUUUAUCUCUACCUCCAUCAUCAUCUGCAUAAGGCUACUUAUCUGC